GACGAACGCUGGCGGCGUGCUUAACACAUGCAAGUCGAACGCUGAAGCUCAGCUUUUGUUGGGUGGAUGAGUGGCGAACGGGUGAGUAACACGUGAGUAACCUGCCUCCUUCUUUGGGAUAACGCCCGGAAACGGGUGCUAAUACUGGAUAUUCACUGGUCUUCGCAUGGGGGGUGGUGGAAAGGGUUUUUCUGGUGGGUGAUGGGCUCGCGGCCUAUCAGCUUGUUGGUGGGGUGAUGGCCUACGAAGGCUUUGACGGGUAGCCGGCCGGGGAGGCUGACUGGGCGCGUGAGGGGCGAGAUAGGGACCAGGCUCCUACGGGAGGCAGCAGCGGGGAAAAUUGCACAGUGGGCGCAAGCCUGAUGCGGCGACGCCGCGUGCGGGAUGGAGGGCUGCAGGUUGUGAACCUGUUUGGCUAAUGGUCAAGCCGCAAAAAUAGUUGGGGUGAGGGUAGUGGGUAAAGAAGCGCCGGCUAACUACGUG
rnacentral:rRNA from 1 species